UAAUAUUUUUUCUUUUCAGAUGAAAGACAUAGAUCUUGAAGAUUCCCCAGAACUAUAUGAUACAACAUCAGGAAGUGCUGAUGAUUACAUUCCAGAUACCACAUGUGAAAGUGAUAGUGACACUGACACUGGCCUUAAAGCAAACACAAGGACAACACGCCGGUCUCUUGAUGAAAAACUGGAGGAUUCCAGGUCAGGAAGUUCCCCUGUCUGUGACACCACAACACCAUACCAAAUCACUGCUGACAGAGUUUCUCUGCCAUCUGAUGACACUGAAGCAGAAGAGGAGCCUUCUUCAAGUCAGGCUGUAAAUGACUGCAUAGUUGUUAGCACAUGCCAAAAAAGAGGGGGAAAAAGAGUGUAUGACAAGAGGCACUACUGCUUGUAUUGCAGUAAGCCCAAUGCCAAGAUGGCAAGGCAUCUAGAACGUGCACAUCAAAAUAAACCCGAUGUAGCCAAAGCGAUAAGCUUUCCAAAGGGUUCCAAAGAGAGAAGAAAACAAUUAGAUCACAUUCGCAAGAAAGGAAACUUUGCACAUAAUGCUGCUGUUAUUGAAUCAGGAAAAGGGGAACUAGUUCCCUCUAAACGACCAUCUAAAGAAGCACAGGGAAAUGACUUCAUGCACUGUGCAUACUGUCAAGGAUUGUUCAAAAGAAAAGUCCUUUGGCGACAUAUGCGUCAUUGUACACUUAGACCAGGAUCUGUUGCAACCAAACCUGGAAAGAACCGUGUUCAGUCCAUGUGUACAUUCACAGGACCUGUUCCAGGCCAUAUCAGUACACAUCUGUGGAAGGUGAUCAGUGCCAUGAAUCCUGACCCAAUCACAGACAUAAUAAAAAGUGACCGGGUCAUUAUUGAUGUUGGACAGCACUUGUUAAACAAAGGCGGCACAUCAGCCAAGAAUCAACAGAAUGUACGAGAGAAGAUGCGAGAGAUGGGUAGGCUGAUUAACAACGCCAGAAGAGUCACCACCUUAAAAAAAAUGGAAGAUCUCAUAAAUCCAAAAAAGUAUAUGGAGACUGUUGCAGCUGUUAGGGCUACAUGUGGGUAUGACAGUGAGACAAACAAGUUCAUGAUUCCAUCACUAGCAAACAAACUUGGGAACACGCUGGUUAAAGUAAGCAAACUUUUAAAAGCUCAGGGUUUAAUCUCAGACAACAAAGACCUUGUGAAGAUGGCCAGUGACUUUCAAGAGGUCCAUCAGGAAAAGUGGAAUGAGAUGAUUUCAGCUACAGCACUGAGAAACAUCAGAGAAGCAAAGUGGAAUGUUCCCACACUCAUGCCUUUCACUGAGGAUGUCCAGAAACUGCAUGCGUAUCUCAGUCAAGUGCAGGAAGAGUGGUACAAGUCACUCUCUGAAAACCCCUCCACAAAAGCCUGGAUGGAGCUGUCAAAGGUGUGUUUGUCCCAGAUUAUUCUCUUUAACCGGCGCAGAGAAGGAGAGGUGGCGAGCAUGCCAUUAUCUGCAUUUUCAUCAAGAGACACAUCUGAUCCACAUGAAGAUGUGGACUGGGCACUCUCUGAAGUGGAAAAGAAACUCUGCAGACACUUUUCAAGGAUCAUCAUCAGAGGAAAACGAGGUCGCCCAGUUCCAAUCCUCCUGACUCCAAAAAUGCUUCAAGCAUUAGAACUCCUUGUUGAGCAAAGAGAAGCUUCUGGUGUUUUAAAAGACAAUGGCUACAUGUUCGCAAGACCAGAAGCUAUGACACAUUUCCGAGGUUCAGACUGCCUCCGUGGCUUUGCACAGAUGUGUGGUGCAAAGUGUCCCAAGUCACUGACAUCCACCAGACUGCGAAAGCACGCUGCAACCCUUUCAACAGUGCUGAACAUGACAGACACAGAGAUGGACCAGUUGGCCAACUUUCUUGGACAUGACAUAAGAAUCCAUCGUGAAUUUUAUCGACUCCCUGAGAAGACAUUGCAGCUUGCCAAGAUCAGCAAACUUCUAAUGGCACUCGAGCAGGGAAGACUCGCUGAGUUUCAUGGAAUGAACUUGGAUGAGAUUGGGAUAGAUCCAGAUGGUGUGUUAUUUUACUAUUUUAUGUACCUUUAUGUAGUUUACAUCUGUUCCUUCAAGUUUACUUUGGUAAGCUGUACUUCAUACAUUUUUUUUGUUACUUCAACAGAAAAAGUUGUUGACUGUGACGAGGAAGACCGGAACAUUCAGGAGGAAAACUGUUCAUCUACUGUUGAUGGUCUGUACUGCAAACUGGACACAGAGGACACACCACUUCAUACUGAAGGUAAUGAAAUUACACCACCACCUCCUAAGAGAUGCAGACCACUACCAUCAGGUGAUGCAACACCCUCAGGAGACAGUAUUCUCAUGUCUUUUUCCAAGGGUAAAACUGUCCCAAAGAAGAAAUCCCCCUGGCAGCAAACUGAGGUGCAAGCAGUGGAGAGGCACAUGAAACAGUUCAUCACAUCUUGUAUUGUACCAGCAAAGAGUGAUUGUGAGAAGUGUUUGAGGAAGGAACCCGAAGCUCUUAAGAAUCGGGACUGGCAGAACCUGAAAUUCUAUGUUUACAACCGCAUCACAGCCUACAAAAGGAAACUGCAAGAUAAAUAAAAUUGAACUAAGGU
ensembl:lncRNA